rfam:Selaginella moellendorffii unplaced genomic scaffold SELMOscaffold_1, whole genome shotgun sequence.
GGCCUAUUAGCUCAGCUGGUCAGAGCGUGGCUCUAAUGAGGCUAAGGUCGCAGGUUCGAAACCUGCAUGGGCCA